rnacentral:lncRNA from 1 species
CCACCAGUUCUCCAUCUCUGAGCCUAUGAGUUUAUCAAUAACUGCUUGUUUCUGCUUUCAGGACUGAUGGCAUAAUUCAGUGCAGUUGCUAGGCUGUCGUCGUUCCCGGAUGACUGUGGGAGUUAAUGGUCAUCAUCUCAGUUGGAGCUGGAAUUGGCCACAAGAUGAUCAAGGAAAUAAAGGUUGAAAGUUGGGACCUUUGAAGAAAAAAAAAAUGGGGCCAUUCUUCUGAUACAAUCCUAUAACAAUGAAGCUUCCAGUCACUGUGGAAGAGAAAACAGAUUCUUUGGCUUUUUCCAAUGUGUUAGAUGCUGGGGUUGUCUGAAUGGAAAGUCAAACAGCUAUGAGAAGAAGACGGUGGGUCCUGGCAGCUGCUUACAGAUCUUAGGUAGGUCUGUAAAUUCCUUAACUAGACAGUGAGCAUUCCU